rnacentral:tRNA from 2 species
GGGCCUGUAGCUCAGCUAGGUAGAGCAAUCGGCUCUUAACCGAUUGGCCAAGGGUUCGAAUCCCUUCAGGCCCG